rnacentral:rRNA from 1 species
UGGGGAAUCUUGGGCAAUGGGCGCAAGCCUGACCCAGCCAUGCCGCGUGUGUGAAGAAGGCCCUAGGGUUGUAAAGCACUUUCAGCAGUGAAGAAAAGCCGGGAGCUAAUACCUCCCCGGUGCUGACGUUAACUGCAGAAGAAGCACCGGCUAACUCCGUGCCAGCAGCCGCGGUAAUACGGAGGGUGCGAACGUUAAUCGGAAUUACUGGGCGUAAAGCGCGCGUAGGCGGUUCGGCAAGUGGGAUGUGAAAGCCCCGGGCUCAACCUGGGAACUGCAUUCCAAACUGCCGGACUAGAGUAUGGUAGAGGGAGGUAGAAUUUCCUGUGUAGCGGUGAAAUGCGUAGAUAUAGGAAGGAAUACCGGUGGCGAAGGCGGCCUCCUGGACCAAUACUGACGCUGAGGUGCGAAAGCGUGGGGAGCAAACAGGAUUAGAUACCCCCGUAGUCC